ensembl:lncRNA
UACCAGUUGGCAUGAAAGUGCAAAAAAAACCACCAAAAAGCACCAGGUUGUUUGAUUCAGAGGCCUUGAGUGUGUGGAAUCUCAAGCCUCUCUCCCUGCACGACCUCUAAUUAACACACACACACACACACAUACACACACACACACAUACACAUCACUUCCCAGUGCUGUGAGCCAUCCAUAGCCAAAAACUUUAUGACAGUGUUUGGAUGGCACAUUAUAAUGAACCACACUGGUAUGCUAAGAGCAUUAAACGAAAACGGAAAACCGAACUAGGGCUGAGUCGAUAUAUCAUUACUAAGACACACGACGAAACCUGAUUAUUAUUACAUUAUUAUAGCCCUGUCGAAAUCUCAAAUCCGAUUGGUCGGAAGGUGUUGAGAUUUAUUUUCUAUAACCGCAGCUUUGACAGUAGCUCGGGCUACAAGGCAAAUUACAGGUUUAUAUUAUUGCUGUAGAUUGUCACUGUUUCUUUAGAUACAAUCUGCGCAGGGAUUUGUAGGCUAGACACUCCACAUAAACGGCUUUACAGAACGUGUAUCUGUUGAUAUGGGGAAGUUUUUGCUGACGAGAUACUUGUAUAUAGCAAGUGAAAUGCUUGCAUAUACAAGUAUUUCACCUAAUAUACAAGUAUUUCACCUACUAUAUACAUGUAUUUCACCUACUAUAUACAUGUAUUCUACUAUAUACAUGUAUUUCACCUACUAUAUACAUGUAUUUCACCUACUAUAUACACGUAUUCUACUAUAUACAUGUAUUUCACCUACUAUAUCGUAGCCGAAAUACGUGUAUUUCACCUACUAUAAACAUGUAUUUCACCUACUAUAUACACGUAUUCUACUAUUUACAUGUAUUUCACCUACAAUAUAGACGUAUUCUACUAUAUACAUGUAUUUCACCUACUAUAUACACGUAUUCUACUAUAUACAUGUAUUUCACCUACUACAUACAAGUAUUUCACAUACGGUAUACAAGUAUUUCACCUACUAUAUACAUGUAUUUUACCAUAUACAUGUAUUUCACCUACUAUAUACAAGUAUUUCACCUACUAUAUACACGUAUUCUACUAUAUACAAGUAUUUCACCUACUAUAUACAUGUAUUUCACCUACUAUAUACACGUAUUCUACCAUAUACAUGUAUUUCACCUACUAUAUACAUGUAUUCUACUAUAUACAUUUAUUUCACCUACUAUAUACAAGUAUUUCACCUACUAU